CCGAAAGAAGACGUCGAUGUUACAAACAAAAAUAAAUAACUUCCUUUAUCUGUUGGCUCACUCCCCAAAUUGUAUUUGGGAAAUAGCACACUAUGAAACUUGCCCAAGUUCACACAGCUGGUAAAUGAUGAAGCUGAGAUUCAUUCAUUCAGCAGACAUCAUUCAGCUCCUCCUAAGUGCCAUGUACAAUGAAGAGGCUGAUAAAUCACCAAGCCAAAGACUAUUUAUGUCUUACCUGAUGAUGCUGAAAGUGAAAACAAUGUCAUUACAGCUCUAGAGAGUCAACCAAAAAGACGGAACGUGACACAGAAAAGGUUUGACAGGAUCUGACAAGUCAGGGGUGUGAUGGUUUAGAGGAUACAGAUAACACUGGCCAGAAUGGUAGCCAUAGUGGGAUCAUAACAAGAUUAAUUAGACAAUGUGAAUAUAAAAGCAUUCCUAGUAGGAGCUGACAUUGCAUCUCUAAUUUCAAGAGAGGAGAGAAAGGGAAGGAAACAUUUGAAGCCAUUUUUUAAGUGUCUGCUCUGAACUGGGUAUUAUCACAUGAGGAAAACCCACAUAGCAAUGUUCAGAGAGACAAGUGCAUCUCAUUUCACAUUUUACAUCUUUCUGGAUGUCACUUUCUAUAUGUUUAAUGCAAUGAUAGUGAUAUUUCUUUCUUCGUAUUGUCUUAGUUUAUGCCUAACACACUGCAGGUUCUCAAUAAAUGGUAGUUUUCUUA